GCUGGGGCAGGUUGGAUUACAACUGGAGCAGGUUGGAUUACAACUGGGAUUACAGCUGGGGCAGGUUGGAUUACAACUGGGAUUACAGCUGGGGCAGGUUGGAUUACAGCUGGGGCAGGUUGGAUUACAACUGGGAUUACAGCUGGGGCAAAUUGGAUUACAGCUGGGAUUACUGCUGGGGCAGGUUGGAUUACAGCUGGGGCAGGUUGGAUUACAACUGGGAUUACAACUGGGACAGGUUGGAUUACAGCUGGGGCAGGUUGGAUUACAGCUGGGAUUACUGCUGGGGCAGGUUGGAUUACAGCUGGGAUUACAACUGGGACAGGUUGAAUUACAGCUGGGGCAGGUUGGAUUACAGCUGGGGCAGGUUGGAUUACAGCUGCGAUUACAGCUGGGGCAGGUUGGAUUACAGCUGGGAUUACAGCUGGGGCAGGUUGGAUUACAGCUGGGAUUACAGCUGGGGCAGGUGGGAUUACAGUUUGGGCAGGUUGGAUUACAGCUGCGAUUACAGCUGGGGCAGGUUGGAUUACAGCUGCGAUUACAGCUGGGGCUGUGCACUGUGUUCAAAACUAAUAUCUGUUAUGAACACAGUGCACAACA
ensembl:lncRNA